UAGAGUAGAUGCUGCAAAAAAAAGCAACAGACUGCAAGUUCUGACCUUGACUGCAGUGAGACACAGAAAGGGAUCAUGUCAUCUCCUCUCUUACUCACAUUGAAGAUGUACAAUAACAAAUCCUCAGGACAAACCAGACACCUAGGAUCCGCUCAUCUUCUAUUCUGCUUCUGGCUUCUGGGUAGUAUUUAUUUAUUUAUUUAUUUAUUUAUUUAUUUAUUUAUUUAUUUUUACUGUACAGGUUUUACAUUUAUGUGUGGCUCCUUGGGAAUGGCACAGGACCUUACAGAAGUCAUAACUUUUCUUCUUUUAGAAGUGUGAUUCCUCCAAAGACUAACUCACACUUGUGUGCUUCCUGUGUCCCUGGGGUGUUGUCUCCAUUUCAGGCUGUGGUUACGCCAUAUGUGACAUUAGUUUAGGAAGAAAAAAAAAAUCAACUAUUAUCUCUUGAAACAAAAGGGUAAAAAAGGGAGAGGGUAAAGUUUUUUCAAAACAACCCAUUACUAAAGAAAGCAGGGAGUCAAACCAGAUCCAAAAUGUAACCAUCCAGAUGUGUAACUGAACCUAGCCCUGUCUUCUACAGCCAAACCUAAACCUAUAGUCUUUUUAGAUAAACACCAUUGGCCAAGGAAGGCCAACUUGAGUACAUAUUUAAUUCAAAUUAUUUUGGCAAAUCAAAGCACUUUUUUCCCCCAUUUUUAUGAUUCCCACAGGCCCUUUAUUCCCCACCCUGUCUCUUCCACCUCCCAAAUUCUUCCAGGCAACUUUUGAAUAGACUACUAUUGUUAUACUGGCUUUGCAUGUGUUUGUUUUGCUUGACAAGGGGUGGAGGACAAUCAGGAGGCAUGUGAAGACUCUCAGAUAAUGGAAGGCUGAAAGAUAAUUAGCUACCAGCCUUGGCAAGUGGAGUUACCUCACAAAAUUGGAAAGUUUGGCUCUGUUUACAGAACUGAAAAAUUUUUCAUUCUGAUUAAUUUUUUUUAAUUUAAUCUCUUUGAGAAUUUUAUACUUGGGUACAUAAUUUCUACCUCUCUGUCUCUUCCCCUCCAAUUCUUCCUGUGCACUCUAUUCCCUUUCAAAUUCAUGACCUCUUAUUAUUACAUAUAUUUCUUAUCAAAGUAAUGUACCAGGGGGUGUAGUUGUCUUCCAAGUGAUAUCCACUGCACUUCCUUGAUCACACCAGUACACUCUAUUAACACGUAGACUUUGUAAUUUUACAUUUCACCAGGUGUCUACCCAGAGACACGAGAGACGGAGGAGAUGUCUGGGAAAAAGGAACAGUGUUCGGAGUUGAGGGAUGGGGGAGACAUGAGGUUAGUGUAAAAGAGUUAAUUAGAGAGUGUCAUCGCUCUUCCAUGGGCCCCCCAAAUCAGCUCAGCACUACACAUAACACAUCGUUAACAAGGAAGUGGAAGAAUCUUGCCAACUUGGCCUUUUCUCCAUUCUCCCUUUCUCUCUCUCUCUCUCUCUCUCUCUCUCUCUCUCUCUCUCUCUCUUCCCUUCUUUCUUUCUUUUUCUUUCUAUUUUUUUUUCCUGGAAAGAGCUGAAGAGGAGGUGAACAGCUUUAGGCAACAACACAGAAAAUCAAAGCGACCUUUGUUUGUGAUUCUUUCUUCUGAUUGGCGUUGUAUUAUUAAAGGCAAUCAAAACCAGUUUUAUAACCACCAGCACCACCACCUCUUUUUUUUUUUUUUUCUACAAGCAAUUUACUAGGCCGCCCAGGCUAGCUAGGCACUUGAUAGUCUCUGCUUUCCCAGUGGUAGGAUCAUAGAAUGUGCCCUCAAGACCAGCAGACCUCUUUCUUGAGUUUGUAUUUACUUGGAAGCAAGUCGAAGCUUUUCUAACUCUACACAGAACACAAGCUUGGGGGUUCUUUGGGAGCUCUCAAGAUUGAGACAAAAACUAGAAGAGAAAAUCCUAAAAUAUAAAUUAUAUAAGCUUAAUUUGCAGGCAAGAGACUUAAGUUAGGGGUAACUAUAAAUGUAUUGGUUACCCAACAGAACUCUAGGGAAUGACUCUUGUCCACCUGGAGCCCUUAAGCACUGGUUGGCUUCCGCUCCCUUCCAGAGACUAUGGAGCCGAUUAAGGAAACACCCACAGAGACAUUAGAAGGUCUUCACUCUUUUCACCUACAGAUCAUUGUUCCUAGUUGAUAAAGAGCUUCUGAAAAGAGGGAGGGAAAAAGC
rnacentral:lncRNA from 1 species